GCCCUUGUAGCUCAGUGGAUAGAGCAGUGGCCUCCGGAGCCACGUGCGGGAGUUCGAAUCUCCCCAAGGGCGCCA
rnacentral:tRNA from 3 species